GACGAACGCUGGCGGCGUGCUUAACACAUGCAAGUCGAGCGGUAAGGCCCUUUUGGGGGUACACGAGCGGCGAACGGGUGAGUAACACGUGGGUGACCUGCCCUCAGCUCUGGGAUAAGCCUGGGAAACUGGGUCUAAUACUGGAUAUGACCUUUCCUCGCAUGGGGUUGGGUGGAAAGUUUUUCGGCUGGGGAUGGGCCCGCGGCCUAUCAGCUUGGUUGGUGGGGUGAUGGCCUACCAAGGCGACGAC
rnacentral:rRNA from 1 species